AGUUCCAAAGAGUAGUGGUUAGCACGUCUGCUUUACACGCAGAAGGUUUUGGGUUCGAGCCCCAGCAGAGCCA
rfam:Pteropus alecto contig90831, whole genome shotgun sequence.